UGCUGGUGCUGGUGCUGGUGCUGGGGCAGCAUCCCACUCAUUAGGGAAUUCACCUUGAUCUGGAUAUAAGUUGGCAGCAGGAACAGCUGCAAUAGGUGGUGGAGUAGCUUCAGCAGCCCACUGGCCAUCAGUAAUUUGGGCACCCCAAUCAGUAGCAAGUCCAUAAUCAGCAGGAGGAAGUGCAUAAUCAGCAACUGGCACUGCUUCCUCCUCUUCCUGUUGCUUGGUCUCCUCAGGUUCUCUGUAGAAGAACAAGUCCACCAUAACAUCCCACUUGUGCCCCUGAGGAAUAGUGCCACGCAUCUGCAGAACCAUUCUUGCCAACAGCCAAAACAGACAUCCAAUACUGUGCUUCCCUUUGUUAUUAGCAGGAAUGCCAAUAUCCACAUACCGCAUGGGAGAAUCAGUAUCACAGAACGCAAUAGUUGGAAUGUUUCCAAGGGAAGAUUCCUUAAUAGGCUGGUGAUCUGUCCUAGGAUCAGUGAGAAUCAAGAGACGAGGCUCACUGAAAGAUGUUUGGAGCUGGUUAGUGAAUGUACCAGGAGUGUGCCUCCCAGCAAUAGCAUGGGCACCAGUGUACUGGGCAAACUUGAGUACAGCUCUUUGACCAUAAGGCCGUGCAGACUGGACAAUAAUAUCUUGUGGGUUCUCAAUGGCCACAAUAACCCUGGCAGCCAGUUGAAGUUUUUCCCAUGUCCUUCCAAGAUUGAUAAUAUAAAUUCCAUCAUUGCGGCGCUUGAAAACAUAGCGUUCCAUCUGGAAGUCGCAGUUCUUAGUGCCGAGGUGAACUUCGGCUGCCAACAUCAUCUGUAUAUCCAAUUCCUUCUGGGACAGAGCCCGUGUUGGUGGUGCUACUGUGCCAGUCGCCAUGGCCGCGCAGCGCGAGAGCUUAAGGGAAAGGAAGGAGGGAGAGAAAGGAGUAAGAGAUGCUAGGAUUUCUAUAACCUAGCGAUUGGAAAAACUAGGGUUUUUAAGGCCCACUGAAAUUAUGGGCCACUGCAAUUUGGGAAUGCCUUUUAUUUAAUAUUUUUUAUUAAUUUAAUUAAUAUAUUUAAAAUAAUAUUUUUUCACAAUAAUAAUUAAAAUAAUAACAUUGAACAAAUUUAAAAUAUUAUGCACCACGUCAUUUAUUUAAUAUUAGUUAUUUUUUUGAAAUCAAACAGUUUCCUCUACAUUAAUACUAAGAGAAAUAUAAAUAAUAAAUAUUUUAAACUAAUGUCUUAACAAAAUUUUUUAAAAAAUAAUACUAUAUUAGAUGAAAUUCUAAUUUUAUUUGAACUUUUAAUUACUUUAAAUCCAAUUCAGUAUAAGUUUAAUAUGUUGAAUUCUCAUAGGAAACAAGAAUAAAAAUGCAAAUGCACAGAAUAGAGCUACAUUUCAUUCCAACCACCAUCAUCCACAAUCUACGUUGCCAAACAAAUUUGGUCCCUUCAGAUACACGAAACUCCAGUUAGCCAUAAAAUCCUAAACCCAACAAGAAAUGCACAGGUAGAGCCCUCAGUCUCCCUCUUCAAGAGACAGCAACCUCAACUUUUUUGGCCUUGGGUGGUGGAGGAUGCUUCUCAACAACAACUGUUAGAACCCCAUUUUCGCAUUUAGCAGUAAUGGCAGACACAUUGGCAUUUUCAGGUAACCGGAACUUCCUCAGCAGCUUCUGAGGUGCCCUCCUCUCAAGCCUUAUGUACUUGCAGCCUUCCUCCUCACCCUCUUCGCGUUUCCUCUUCCCUCCACUUUUAAUCACCAGCGUGUUCUGAUCUUCAACAGUCACCUAUAGUAACCAAAUGCACCGAACAUUAGUAACAGAGGAUCAUAAUUCAUACUUUCAGAAGAAUCAACAAUCCCAAUUGCAAUAACAGAAAACAGGGGAGUUGUGAUUGUACCUGAAUAUCAGACUUGCACAAUCCAGGCACAUCCAUGUAGAAAAUGUACUCUUUAGGGCUGUCCAAGAUGUCCGUAGCAAUGUUACCCGCACCGUUGUUCUCGUUCGUAUCAUUUGAACGCGAAUGGAUCAUGAACUUCUCGAUGCUCUCAGGGAUAUUGAACAAAUGGCUCAUUGCAUCAAACAAAUUCGAGUCUGCUAUUCGGCUCAUCUUCUCAAAUUAUCAAUUAGCUCGACAACUCUGUCAAAAACAAAUGAUCGUAUUUAGAUGCAUUUAGCAUCCAAUUCAUUUACUAUAGGCAUAAUAUAGAGAUAGAAUUUGGGCUCAGGUACUUGCAAAUUAACAGCCUAUUCUCUGUUUGUUUCCAGAGAAAAUUUGCGACGUCAAAUGACAAAGAGUUCAAGCUUAAACAUUAAUUUUUGCCUCAUAACUAAACUACUAUGCCUGCUUCGCAGGAAAACCUAGAGAAGUGAAAGAAAAUUUAUGGAUUAACUUUCAUAAGAGGAAAGUGCGAUGCAAAUCAUACCUAUAAAAGGAGUUAGUUCCUUGAAAAAAUUGAUGAAAAAACAAGAGAAAUUGCGAGAAAAUUCGUGCGCAGGAAGAUAACACAGGAGCUGUAGUUAAUUGCUUGAUAGUGAGAAAGUGCGGGGAUCAAUAUAUAAUGGGAGACGAAGGAGAAAUCGAGAGCGGUCAGAAGAAGAGGCGGGAUCACUCCACAAUACUUGCGAUUCUU
rnacentral:misc_RNA from 1 species